rnacentral:rRNA from 1 species
UACGGAGGGUGCGAGCGUUAAUCGGAAUUACUGGGCGUAAAGCGCGCGUAGGCGGUUUGAUAAGUCGGAUGUGAAAGCCCCGGGCUUAACCUGGGAAUUGCAUUCGAUACUGUCAGGCUCGAGUCUAGGAGAGGGAAGCGGAAUUCCGGGUGUAGCGGUGAAAUGCGUAGAUAUCCGGAGGAACAUCAGUGGCGAAGGCGGCCCCCUGGUUGGAUACUGACGCUGAUACGCGAAAGCGUGGGGAGCAAACAGG